UCACCACUCUGGCCUUUUGGCUUAGAUCAAGUGUAGUAUCUGUUCUUAAUAGUUUAACCACUAUUAUGGAGGCACCGCCUCCAUUCUUGGUUAUCUUAUUUUUGCCACCCUUUGUCGUUGAGCUCUGCUUGCAACUCGGCGGCGUGAUGACCUUGCUAUUGCAGUAUUGGUUUGUGUCGUCGGGGGAUC
rnacentral:snRNA from 1 species